rnacentral:rRNA from 1 species
GAUGAACGCUGGCGGCGUGCCUAAUACAUGCAAGUCGAGCGAACAGACGAGGAGCUUGCUCCUCUGACGUUAGCGGCGGACGGGUGAGUAACACGUGGAUAACCUACCUAUAAGACUGGGAUAACUUCGGGAAACCGGAGCUAAUACCGGAUAAUAUAUUGAACCGCAUGGUUCAAUAGUGAAAGACGGUUUUGCUGUCACUUAUAGAUGGAUCCGCGCUGCAUUAGCUAGUUGGUAAGGUAACGGCUUACCAAGGCAACGAUGCGUAGCCGACCUGAGAGGGUGAUCGGCCACACUGGAACUGAGACACGGUCCAGACUCCUACGGGAGGCAGCAGUAGGGAAUCUUCCGCAAUGGGCGAAAGCCUGACGGAGCAACGCCGCGUGAGUGAUGAAGGUCUUCGGAUCGUAAAACUCUGUUAUUAGGGUAGAACAAAUGUGUAAGUAACUAUGCACGUCUUGACGGUACCUAAUCAGAAAGCCACGGCUAACUACGUG